AACGAACGCUGGCGGCAUGCCUAACACAUGCAAGUCGAACGAGACCUUCGGGUCUAGUGGCGCACGGGUGCGUAACGCGUGGGAACCUGCCUUUAGGUUCGGAAUAACUCAGAGAAAUUUGAGCUAAUACCGGAUGAUGUCUUCGGACCAAAGAUUUAUCGCCUUUAGAUGGGCCCGCGUUGGAUUAGCUCGUUGGUGGGGUAAAGGCCUACCAAGGCGACGAUCCAUAGCUGGUCUGAGAGGAUGAUCAGCCACACUGGGACUGAGACACGGCCCAGACUCCUACGGGAGGCAGCAGUGGGGAAUAUGGGACAAUGGGCGAAAGCCUGAUCCAGCAAUGCCGCGUGAGUGAUGAAGGCCUUAGGGUUGUGAAGCUCUUUUACCCGAGAUGAUAAUGACAGUAGCGGGAGAAUAAGCUCCGGCUAACUCCGUG
rnacentral:rRNA from 1 species